rfam:Schistosoma curassoni strain Dakar, Senegal genome assembly, scaffold: SCTD_scaffold0002992
ACCCAUCUGACGGGUCCCAAAUAGAGCGAAACGCGAGUCGUGGAU